rnacentral:rRNA from 1 species
GAUGAACGCUGGCGGCGUGCUUAACACAUGCAAGUCGAACGGAAAGGCCCAAGCUUGCUUGGGUACUCGAGUGGCGAACGGGUGAGUAACACGUGGGUGAUCUGCCCUGCACUUCGGGAUAAGCCUGGGAAACUGGGUCUAAUACCGGAUAGGACCACAUUUUGGAUGGUGUGGUGGAAAGUUUUUCGGUGUGGGAUGAGCUCGCGGCCUAUCAGCUUGUUGGUGGGCUAAUGGCCUACCAAGGCGUCGACGGGUAGCCGGCCUGAGAGGGUGUACGGCCACAUUGGGACUGAGAUACGGCCCAGACUCCUACGGGAGGCAGCAGUGGGGAAUAUUGCACAAUGGGCGCAAGCCUGAUGCAGCGACGCCGCGUGGGGGAUGACGGCCUUCGGGUUGUAAACUCCUUUCGCUAGGGACGAAGCGCAAGUGACGGUACCUGGAGAAGAAGCACCGGCUAACUACGUG